UCGUACCUACGGGAGGCAGCAGUAGGGAAUCUUCCACAAUGAACGAAAGUCUGAUGGAGCAACGCCGCGUGAGUGAAGAAGGGUUUCGGCUCGGAAAGCUCUGUUGGUAGUGAAGAAAGAUAGAGGUAGUAACUGGCCUUUAUUUGACGGUAAUUACUUAGAAAGUCACGGCUAAAUACGUGCCAGCAGCCGCGGUAAUACGUAGGUGGCAAGCGGUGUCCGGAUUUAUU
rnacentral:rRNA from 1 species